UACGAAGGGGGCUAGCGUUGUUCGGAAUCACUGGGCGUAAAGGGCGCGUAGGCGGCUGUUCAAGUUGGGGGUGAAAGCCUGUGGCUCAACCACAGAAUUGCCUUCGAUACUGGACGGCUCGAGACCGGAAGAGGUCAGUGGAACUGCGAGUGUAGAGGUGAAAUUCGUAGAUAUUCGCAAGAACACCAGUGGCGAAGGCGGCUGACUGGUCCGGUUCUGACGCUGAGGCGCGAAAGCGUGGGGAGCAAACAGG
rnacentral:rRNA from 1 species